CCCUUCGGGGUACACGAGAGGCGGACGGCUGAGUAACGCGUGGGAACGCACCCUACACUGAGGGAUAAGAUACCGAAAGGUGUUCUAAUACCGCAUACGGUCUUCUGAUUAAAGUCUUCGGACGGUGAAGGAGCGGCCCGCGUCAUAUUAGGUAGUUGGUGGGGUAAUGGCCUACCAAGCCGAUGAUGUGUAGCUGGUCUGAGAGGAUGAUCAGCCAGACUGGAACUGAGAACGGUCCAGACUCCUACGGGAGGCAGCAGUG
rnacentral:rRNA from 1 species